rnacentral:misc_RNA from 1 species
GAGAGUAUAAAAACUCCCAACCCAUGUGAACAUACCUAGCGUUGCCUCGGCGGAGGGCUAGGGGACCUAAAAGACCCCCUACCGCCGCCGCAGGACCACUAAACUCUUGUUUUAUUUUGGAACUCUGAAUACAAAAGCAAAUAAGUUA